rnacentral:rRNA from 1 species
GACGAACGCUGGCGGCGUGCUUAACACAUGCAAGUCGAACGUAAAGGCCCUGCUUGCAGGGUACUCGAGUGGCGAACGGGUGAGUAACACGUGGGUGAUCUGCCCUGCACUUCGGGAUAAGCCUGGGAAACUGGGUCUAAUACCGGAUAGGAGCCAUUUUUAGUGUGAUGGUUGGAAAGUUUUUUCGGUGUAGGAUGAGCUCGCGGCCUAUCAGCUUGUUGGUGGGGUAAUGGCCUACCAAGGCGGCGACGGGUAGCCGGCCUGAGAGGGUGGACGGCCACAUUGGGACUGAGAUACGGCCCAGACUCCUACGGGAGGCAGCAGUGGGGAAUAUUGCACAAUGGGCGCAAGCCUGAUGCAGCGACGCCGCGUGGGGGAUGACGGCCUUCGGGUUGUAAACUCCUUUCGCUAGGGACGAAGCUUUUUGUGACGGUACCUAGAUAAGAAGCACCGGCUAACUACGUG